AUAUGUCAUCAUUGCUGUACUGAUUGAGCUCGAGAGAUUGAGAUUCCUUGUCACACUACUUGAGAAUAUGUACAUAUAUAAAUUGGAAUGCUCAUGCCAUCAAUGAUUUCAACCCAUCAUGACCCCAGAAGGUAUUUUACAAUAAUAAUUAUUGUCGUUUACAUUGAUUGGUCUAAUUACAGCAUCGUGGACACACCUAUACUUUAGAAUUUGGCAGUUAAGUUACUGGCUGUGGACAUGGCUGGUCUGUGACAGUACAAACAGUCGAACAAAAAAUUGACGGAGGACAUGGCUGGUCUGUGGACAGUACGAACAGUCGAACAACACAUUAUAUUGAGACAGAGGACAUGGCUGGUAGUACAAACAGUCGAGCAAACAUGAUUGACAAACAGAGGACAUGGCUGGUAGUACAAACAGUCGAGCAAACGUGACACACUCGAGCAGCACAAGCGCUAGAAGAAACAGUCCUAUUAGUGUUGUAAACUGUCAAACUGUCUGGCUAUGUUUGUUUCUUAAAAAUGUUAACACUUUGUUGAAUUAUUCAUGCCAAACUCA